CCAAUAGCGUAUAUUAAAGUUGUUGCAGUUAAAAAGCUCGUAGUUGAAUUUCGGGGUUAGUAGGUUGGUCAUGCCUCUGGUAUGUACUGGUCUCACUGAUUCCUCCUUCCUGACGAACCGUAAUGCCAUUAAUUUGGUGUUGCGGGAAAUUUGGACUGUUACUUUGAAAAAAUUAGAGUGUUUAAAGCAAGCUAACGCUUGAAUACAUUAGCAUGGAAUAAUGAAAUAGGACGUUCGAUCCUAUUUUGUUGGUUUCUAGGAUUGACGUAAUGAUUAAUAGGGAUAGUUGGGGGCAUUAGUAUUCAAUUGUCAGAGGUGAAAUUCUUGGAUUUAUUGAAGACUAACUACUGCGAAAGCAUUUGCCAAGGAUGUUUUCAUUAAUCAAGAACGAAAGUUAGGGGAUCGAAGACGAUCAGAUACCGUCGUAGUCUUAACCAUAAACUAUGCCGACUAGGGAUCGGAUGAUGUUAAUUUUUUAAUGACUCAUUCGGCGCCUUACG
rnacentral:rRNA from 1 species